rfam:Lupinus angustifolius cultivar Tanjil chromosome LG01, whole genome shotgun sequence.
AAAAAAGCAGGGUUGUGUUGCCUAUGUGAACAUGCCUCUUACAUAACCUUCAGGGAUAUAAUAACCAUUGUUUUUGGGUGAACCUGUGCUCUUGUUUUGUGACUUAAGGUUCAGUAAAUGAUGGAACAUAU